CCCCAUUUUGCCUCCACAAACAUUACUGAUCCUCCACCUUGAGGUCUGAGAGUUUCGUUGAGUGGCUCCUCUUAGGAGUCCUAUCUCUCGUGAGCUGGGUUACCCUGGAGUAGAAGGGCCUUCCCCGUGAAGCUCCCAUCUUCCCUCCGUCACUGCCUUGCCACGCGGGGAGCCCAUCUCGUGAGAAGGGCUCAGGCCACUUUGGAGGGUGUCACACUGGGGUCAGCUUGCUGACGGGAUGGGGCGAGGUUUCAGUUUCUGCAACACUGGCCCUGCUGUGGUGUGAACUGCAUCCCUGCUCCAGGGGUGCAGCUCUCUGCAGAAGUCUCCCCCCUGCCUCUGACACUUGGAUGAUUUUGUAUUCAAAUUAGUCAGGAUUCUUUCUGUUUCCACUUCCAAAUCCCAGGUGAAGAAUUUCAUAGAACAGGCUGUCAUUCUCCACCCUCCCCCCCCAUUCCAGCUCUGCUCCUGAUGCGUGACAGAGCCUUGACAGAAGAGCCCGAGGGGCGAAACGGAAGCUCUACUGUGCGUUAGAGAUGAUGUUUAUCAUUAUUAUUAAUAGCUAGGGUUUAAUGAGAUUUUUCUAUGUUCUCAGCACUAUGCUAAAUACUUUAGCUGUAUUAUUUCACUUGAUCCUUACAAUAACUCAACAAGAAAGAGGCAGAGGAGCUUCCCACCCUAGACCAUCUGACAGAGUCAGAGCACAUCUCAUCUGGCCAAGAAGCCUGCUAGGAAGCCCGGAGUGGGGUGGUGGACACUGAGUCCCUAGGAGGUCCUUCUGGCAUCCGCAUUGGCUCAGGAAUACAAUGGAGUGGUCAGGUCACUUCUCCUAAAUGAAGGAAAGGAUUCGGAAAAUGGGACAGAGUGAGAAGGCUCAACACAAGAUAUAGCUCUUGGCCACAGACCAUCUUUGUUGUCUCUGACGUUAAAGUAGCUCCUAAAAAAGUCAUCUCACGCCCAUCACUGGAACAAGGGAAAUGAGAGAGCAUGGGCCAUCAGAGCCUGGAACCUUAGCAGAGGCCAAAGAGAGCAAAGCAGAUCUUUUAUAAAGGGUGGAAGGAGAGGGGUCAUGGGUACACUGGGGUCAUUUCCAAAAUCAAUUUAGUUGGAGCCAAAAAUCACACUGGGUUUAAUGUUGUGUUCAAGCAAAAAGUCCACUGGGGACAAGACUGGGAGAAAGCCUUGAAAAUGAAUUCUGGACAAAGUUUCACGACUUUUUAUUCCUGCCAGUAAUUAAAUAAUGGAAAAAGACAAUUGAUAUUUAGGUAGAAGACUGGCAGCAACUUUCCCAGCACUAGAGGGGGAGAAUUUGGUAUUUACUAAGCUGUGGAAAGGCUGAGGACCAGGUCUCUGCAAGAGAAGAAGGGCCCAGGACUCAGAGGCCACCCACACAUCUUAGAGCCUAAGAAAUGUUCCCACCCAACACUCCCAACACUUUUAACUCAGUGGGAGUCAAUAUCAGAAAAUCAUGUGAACAGCACUUACCG